CUAGCCCGCAGCCGCGUCUCAACGGCUCUGCUGCGGCCAGCGCCCCAGACUCACACCGCGGCUACUCAGGCCGCCCGGGCCAGGAAAAUCAAGAGCUGCAGAGCCUCUGACCCAGAGAGACGCCAGGAUCUUUUUUUUUUUUUUAACCACAUGGAGUACAAAGCAACUUCCCUCCAACUGUUUCCCAGCUCAUUUGCUGUAUCCCCGUGCCUGCUGCCUGCCUGUACACUGGUGUCUCCAUGUUCAACCAAGGUUGCCAGUUCUCUGAAUCUGACCUACCUGCCGAAUAGAACAGAAACCUUUGGGUUUUUAUACA